rnacentral:rRNA from 1 species
AGUGAACGCUGGCGGUAGGCCUAACACAUGCAAGUCGAACGGCAGCACAGUAAUAGCUUGCUCUUACGGGUGGCGAGUGGCGGACGGGUGAGGCAUACAUCGGAAUCUACUUUUUCGUGGGGGAUAACGUAGGGAAACUUACGCUAAUACCGCAUACGACCUACGGGUGAAAGCAGUGGAUCUUCGGACCUUGCGCGAUUGAAUGAGCCGAUGUCGGAUUAGCUAGUUGGCGGGGUAAAGGCCCACCAAGGCGACGAUCCGUAGCUGGUCUGAGAGGAUGAUCAGCCACACUGGAACUGAGACACGGUCCAGACUCCUACGGGAGGCAGCAGUGGGGAAUAUUGGACAAUGGGCGCAAGCCUGAUCCAGCCAUACCGCGUGGGUGAAGAAGGCAUUCGGGUUGUAAAGCCCUUUUGUUGGGAAAGAAAAGCAGCAGGUUAAUACCCCGCUGUUCUGACGGUACCCAAAGAAUAAGCACCGGCUAACUUCGUG